rnacentral:rRNA from 1 species
UACAGAGGGGGCAAGCGUUGUUCGGAAUUACUGGGCGUAAAGGGCGCGUAGGCGGCCUGUUAAGUCGAACGUGAAAUCCCCGGGCUCAACCCGGGAACUGCGUCCGAUACUGGCAGGCUUGAAUCCGGGAGAGGAUGUGGAAUUCCAGGUGUAGCGGUGAAAUGCGUAGAUAUCUGGAGGAACACCGGUGGCGAAGGCGGCGACCUGGUCCGAUACUGACGCUGAGGCGCGAAAGCGUGGGGAGCAACAGG